GACGAACGCUGGCGGCGUGCCUAAUACAUGCAAGUCGAGCGGACGUUUUUGAAGCUUGCUUCAAAAACGUUAGCGGCGGACGGGUGAGUAACACGUGGGCAACCUACCUUAUCGACUGGGAUAACUCCGGGAAACCGGGGCUAAUACCGGAUAACAUCUAGCACCUCCUGGUGCCGGAUUAAAAGAGGGCUUCUUGCUCUCACGAUGAAGAGGGCCAGCGGCGCCUUAGCUAGUUGGAGAGGUAACGGCUCCCCAAGGCGACGAUGCGUAGCCGACCUGGGAGGGUGAUGGGCCACACUGGGACUGGGACACGGCCCAGACUCCUACGGGAGGCAGCAGUAGGGAAUCUUCCGCAAUGGACGAAAGUCUGACGGAGCAACGCCGCGUGAGUGAUGAAGGGUUUCGGCUCGUAAAGCUCUGUUAUGAGGGAAGAACACGUGCCGUUCGAAUAGGGCGGUACCUUGACGGUACCUCAUCAGAAAGCCACGGCUAACUACGUGCCAGCCGCCGCGGUAA
rnacentral:rRNA from 1 species